rnacentral:guide_RNA from 1 species
AAUAAACGAUGUAGAAUAUUGGUAUCAGUGAU